rnacentral:rRNA from 1 species
AACGAACGCUGGCGGCGUACUUAACACAUGCAAGUCGAACGGGAAAGGGGACUUCGGUCCCUGAGUAUAGUGGCGAACGGGUGCGUAACACGUAAGCAAUCUACCCUAGACUCUGGGAUAACGUUUCGAAAGGGACGCUAAUACCAGAUAGUUCCCAUCCGUGUAGGCGGAGGGGGGAAAGGACUCUGGUCUAGGAUGAGCUUGCGGCCCAUUAGCUUGUUGGCGGGGUAAUGGCCCACCAAGGCGACGAUGGGUAGCUGGUCUGAGAGGAUGAUCAGCCACACUGGCACUGAGACACGGGCCAG